AUGACUGAGAGCUGCUGCUCAGCAACUUCACCCACAGCAACCAUGACUUUGAUCAGCGUCUUCAUCUGCACAUUGGCCCUCUGGACUCAAGGAUCCAGAGGUCAGGUGACUGUGACUCAGACUCCUUCAGUGCAAACUGUUGCUCCAGGAAACACCGUCACCAUCAACUGUAGAACCAGUAGCAGUGUGUAUGGUGGUAGCUAUCUACACUGGUACCUGCAGAAACCUGGAGAAGCUCCUAAACUCCUGAUCUACUAUGCUACUAGCUUACAGUCAGGGACUCCAGCUCGUUUUAAAGGCAGUGGAUCUAAUACUGACUUCACUCUGACCAUCAGUGGAGUCCAGACUGAAGAUACAGGAGAUUACUACUGUCAGAGUUACCAUGAGAUCAGUAGUAGCUAUGUGUUCACACAGUGUUAGAGCGUGGUACAAAAACCUCGGUCAGUGAGAGUACACAGAGAAGCACUGCUGCAGCUGGGAGAGACUGCAGGUGCUGAGGGGGAGGAUGUGAGAGGAGUCCACCUUUCUCAGCUGUGGAUGAGGUUUUGUUAACAUAUUAAUAUAUUAGUGAUGGUGAAAAUCAGACAGAAUUUCCUCUGAAACUCUCUUAGGUGCAGCUUAAAGAUGAAUAACAUCAGCACAGUCAGCACCAUAAAUACACUCCAUACACACACACACUUUCAGCUGAUCAUCAUCAGUCCACUACAAUGUCUUUUACUCUCUUUGUGGAAUUUUUCCUCAAUGUGGAACAGCUAUGUGUUUUCAACAGGAAGUGGAUUAUCUCACUAUCUACACUCUUAGAAAGAAAAAAUAACUAAGAAGGUUUGAGCUAAAGCAACAGCAGCCAGACUUACUCAGUAAAAAAAACAUAUUUAUUAUUUUCUUUUUAUACUUUUUGUUCUGUAUAUAAUUUGCCAGUUCUUUAUGAUUUGCAGUAUUACUAUUAUUAUAGCAGUUUUCCUAGUUUUACUUUUAUAGACUUCAGAUUUUAUUAUAACUUUAAUAUCCACAUUAGGAAUUUUUUAACUGAACAUGUCUUAAUUAUUAACAAACUUCUCUUUAUAAUCUCUUAAAUGAGAUUAAACCAGAGAAUUAUAUAUAAUCAUGACAAAAAGGACAGGGUUUUUAAAAUAUCUCCACAGAUGACCCUGAGUUAUACAGCAGUUUGUGUGAAACGUCUCAGUGAUUCUUUAUUUGUAAAUAGAUGACAUUAAUAAUAAACUCUGUAAAAAAUGGGUUUUUGUAGAGAAAACCACUGCAUCAGCAGCACAGUCAACAACCUGAGCACUGCAACAACCACACAGAAACUCUGACCAGUCCUGCCUGCUCCUGACCAGUCCCAACCUUCUCCUGAUCAAAGUAUCUCUAAUAUCACCCACUCCUACAUGAAGUUUAACCCUUCAUACCCUCUCUUGCAGAAAGCUGACCAAUAUUACUGGCUCCUGCAGAAUAAUUGACCAAUCGUGUCCACUGAAGCAGAAACUUUGAGAAAUCCCAUUCUCUCUUGAAGAACAUUUGACUAAUUCCAUCUGCUCCUGCAGAAUAAUUAAUCAUUUCUGCCCACUCCUGCAGAAACGUUGACCAAUCCCAGCCAUUUCUCCAGACAGUUUGACCAAUCACCUCCUGCUUCUGUUCAGAGUUUUAAUCUCACCUGUUUCUGCAGAAAGAAUGACCAAUCCCACCUGAGGACUGAAGCACGAAGGAAGCUCAGCACAUUUAGUAUCUUCUUGUAUUUCCUCUGUAUUCAGUAAAACUGCUAGGCUCUUGAUAUAUCUUGAAUAUAUCUUGUUACUCUCUGACUUGGGCUCAAUCUGACCCUGGGCUUUCUGUGUGAUAAUAUUUGUUCAUGACCUCAUCGUAUGAAGUCCUUUGUUUCGUAGGUGUCUUCAUGUUUUCUUUCAGUUGCUGCCUCUGCUCUACUGCUCUCAGAUGCUGAAAGAGUUGUCCUUUCAUACCCACUUACACUACAUGCACCAUGUCAGGUAGUCACCAUUCUUAAUAAUAUUCAGGCACUUGACCACACAGCAUCAUUCAGGCUAUGAAGCCAUCUUCUGUGCCAAACAAAAUCUCCCUAUCAAACCCGUGAAAGCCCAAAAUAUCCCAGCUGUCCUGUUACACUGCCUCGUGUACUCCUGUCUGGAGGAACAGGCCUCUGAUGGCUGGUUGGAGUACGACUGUUUGACUGAGAUUUCAGAAUCAUCAUCUCUGUCACAGCAUCUGUUGGAGGACAGGGCACACAUAUUUGUGUAGAUGGCUCAUGUUCUAAACCCAGUGAUAAUACCACCUUGUGUGGAUAUUCAGUCUGUUCUUUACCUAUUAUUGUAAAUGAAGAUCCCUCUAUUCCUUUUCUUUCAGCUCAAGCUGCUGAACUUGUUGCUUUAACAAGUGCAUGUUGUUUGUUUAAAUACGAAUUGGUCAAAUUUGGCGUACAUGUGGAUUUAAUGCUGCUGAUAGUAAUCCCAUGUCACAUGCUGCAUUGGUUUCUGAUCUUUUAGAGCAGGGGUGUCCAAUCUUAUCCAGAAAGGGCCGGUGUGGUUGCAGGUUUUCAUUCCAUCCAAGCACAAGCUACACCUGAUUCCAACUGGCUAAUCAGCUGUCUGGUUUCUGCUCGGUUAGAAUGAAAACCUGAACCCACACCGGCCCUUUGCGGAUAAGAUUGGACACCCCUGUUUUAGAGGCCUCAAUAUUACCUAAACAUCAAGCUGUCAUUAAGGUUAAGGGUCAUGACCUAGGAGAUUCUGGCUUGUGGUAACUCUCUAGCUGAUGAAUCAGAAAAAUGGGUUCCCAAAGAGGACAAGCCCUCACCUGUUGUGCACAAAACAGUCCCAGUAUUUUCUCUGUUUACACACAUUUUGACUCCACUAGAUAUUGACAUGUUAUUUAUCCGAACUCAGACUACAAAACAAGAUAGUCUCCAAGUCCACAAGACCGCAUUUCACUCCCCUGCUAAGUCUUACCAUUUCCUGUGUGUCAUUUUCAUGGUGUUUCACAUGCUGCAUGAAGAGGGGUGAAUAGAAACAUCAACAAACACUUGUCUAUUCUCAGUGUUACUAAAACUGCUAAAUUGAUUCUAGAUGUCAAUAUUUCAAUAUUGACUGGAAUUUUCACAUUCCCUAGUUCAGGAAUAGUAGAAACAAACAAACAAACAAACAAACAGCCCAAACUGGGCGGAGCUCCUCCCCUCAGUUCUUUGUGAAACUCGUCUGACACCACAUUCAACAACUAUCUCCCUUUUAGAUAAUUAUGGGCCGUCCAUUUCUAACCCCUUGGACUAAAGCUAAUGCUGGUGUUUCCUUUUCAGGCGACUUGGAGGUGAUUGUCAGCGAUUUCACUUAAGCACUAAUUUAGACAUUAAACAGUGUGCAUGCUAAUGUCUCUGCCUCUCUCCCUCUUCUCACAGAGCAGCCGACUCACCCUUUUUCUCCCAGUUUAUGCUGUUCUAGUAAAAAUCCUCAUCUCUCCUCACAAGGAUCUUCAGAGACAGAAGAGACUCAGCAAUCAAGCAUUCCUCAGAGCGCUUCACCUCAUCUCACCUUUUCACAUACACAUAGAGAAAACCCAUGUAUUAGCUUUUACACGUCUGAUAAUCUGACCAGGACUAGGAAUGUUAACGUUCCUAGACAUUUUUUUAGACUCUUUGGUUAUUCUAGAACUUGCUCACACUGUGAUCCUGAUAGACUGAUAAACUCAGCCUUUGCUUAUAAUAAGUGAUUCAACAAAAACAUGUUUAUUAUACUCUUAGUAGGGGUCUUCUGCUCCUCUGACUGCAGUCUUAUGCCUCAGCAGCAGCGUGGUGGAAACAUGGCAUGUGCUUUUUCUUCAGAAAAUACUCACGAUUUAUCUGACAUUCCUAAUAUAUAAUGGAUUUUGUAUUCCAUUUGACCUUUUCUGUUGUUAUCGUGUAUUUUUCAGUGCAUUUCUGCUUGCAGUUGGUGAACCGUAUGUGCCCUCGUCAACAACACUUAUGUAGCACUUCCACUCAACACAACAUAGUAGGUCUUGCUUCUUGCUGAAUAGGACCAACCUCUGACCUCUGACCACCUUCUGACCUCUGGCAUGCAUGGCCUUAAAGGGUGACUGUUGUUUGAGUUUGGGGCUGUGGGAUGGUCCAGUGGGCAGUGAGACUGUCUUUGAUGCUUCUUAAGAGUUGGGACAUACAUCUUAUGAUCAUGAUAUUUUGUUUUGCUGGACAUGGACAGUUUCUUCUUCCAUAAUGUAGAAAAUGCUUUUUAUAAUCAACUCUCCAAACCUCCACUGAACACUUUAACCUCCACAUCUGUUUCUGCUGAUGUUUUGUUUUGUUUUCCAGUAGAUAACACUGUAUAUUAUAUCUUUCUUCUGUAUAAAUUCUCACUGUUAAUCUCAGUAAAUUUUGAAAAGUUUUACUAUUCAGUCACUGUCUCUCUGUGGUUCUAUGGCAGUCUCUCUCUGAAUUCAGCUCAGAGGUAGCAGCAGCAAGGCGGUUCAGGCUUCUUCUCCAAGUAAACCUGAAAAUUCUUACUGGUUUGUAGGUGUUCCUGCUCCAUCUGUAGCUGUUCUGUAGGUGUAUCUGUACACCCAGUGGUGUGGUGGUAGAUCACACGUCUAGAAAC